rnacentral:rRNA from 1 species
ACUCAAAUGAAUUGACGGGGGCCCGCACAAGCGGUGGAGCAUGUGGUUUAAUUCGAUGCUACGCGAAGAACCUUACCCAGACUUGACAUCCCGUGCUACCCUGUGAAAGCAGGGGUUCCCUUCGGGGACGCGGAGACAGGUGCUGCAUGGCUGUCGUCAGCUCGUGUUGUGAGAUGUUGGGUUAAGUCCCGCAACGAGCGCAACCCUCGCCUCUAGUUACCAUCAUUCAGUUGGGCACUCUAGAGGGACCGCUAGGCUAUAAGCCAGAGGAAGGUGGGGAUGACGUCAAGUCCUCAUGGCCUUUAUGUCUGGGGCAACACACGUGCUACAAUGGGCAGGUACAAUGCGCAUCGCGAGCCCGCGAGGGUUAGCAAAUCGCAAAAAGCCUCCCUCAGUUCGGAUUGGAGUCUGCAACUCGACUCCAUGAAGUUGGAAUCGCUAGUAAUCGGGGAUCAGCACGCCCCGGUGAAUACGUUCCCGGGCCUUGUACACACCGCCCGU